rnacentral:ncRNA from 1 species
AUCUUCGGGGUCGGGUGCAAGUCCCAACCGGCGGUAUAGUCCGCGACCCGCUUUUAUAAGUGGCUGAACCGGUGACUUUCCUAUAGGGAAAGAAUUCCGGUACCGACAGUAUAGUCUGGAUGAGAGAAGAG